UACAGAGGUCCCAAGCGUUGUUCGGAUUCAUUGGGCGUAAAGGGUGCGUAGGCGGCGCGGUAAGUCGGGUGUGAAAUCUCGGAGCUUAACUCCGAAACUGCAUUUGAUACUGCCGUGCUUGAGGACCGGAGAGGAGACUGGAAUUUACGGUGUAGCAGUGAAAUGCGUAGAGAUCGUAAGGAAGACCAGUGGCGAAGGCGGGUCUCUGGACAGUUCCUGACACUGAGGCACGAAGGCCAGGGGAGCAAACGGG
rnacentral:rRNA from 1 species